rfam:Stegodyphus mimosarum contig33942, whole genome shotgun sequence.
GCCUUCGUGGUGUAAUGGUCAGCACACUCGGUGCGUAUUCGAAAGGUCCCAGGUUCGAGUCCCGGCGAGGGCA